rnacentral:hammerhead_ribozyme from 1 species
AUCCAGCUGACGAGUUCUAAAUAGGAUGCAACGCACGUCCUAGAU